AAAAGAAAGUAUCGAAGAAUUCAAGAUUUUUGCUAAAUUAAAAACUUGAAUCAUACGUGUCAUGAAGCAUAGGCGAGUAGACAAGGGGAAGGUGUGGUUAUCAAAAUGCAGCUUCUCCUUUGGAAGAGUAGGGAUAGGGACAGGUCUAAUGGCGGUGCUGAAGAAGUUUGUUUGUUCAACAAUUACCUUAACACCAAAUUGAUCUUCGGUCUGGGUUGCAAUUGAAAUGCUGAAGCUCUACGAGGCUUAUAAGUGAAUCCUUGGUAUCUUUCUCAUAAUCUUUGUCCUUGUAAAAGGUCAUUCAUGACAUACAGGAAAUUCAGAAUUUGUCGCUACUUGCUAAGCAUUUAGUUUAGCACUACCCUUCUGCUUCUGCCACAACAUAAAAAGAUGGCAGCUCGGGUCAACGCUGUGACAAGUGAGAAACUGACUGAAACUGAUUGGAUGAAAAAUAUUGAAAUCUUUGAAUUUUGCAUGAGAAUUUUCUAAAUAGUUUUUACCUGCACCAUACCUAAAAUGGAGAAGAUUGGUUAUGUGAUUUUCUUUUGAGUAUUUAUAAUAAUUGGUUUCAUGUACUAUGGUGUGGUACUAACUUGUGUAUUAUCUGUUGAUUUUCUUGUUGCUGGAAAUGUUGAUGCACAAUAUUGGAGAUCUUGUUCACCAGCUGGUGAUUGAUACAAGAAUUAUUCCUAUUCUUGUGAAAAUUGUGAAGAAAAAAGUGAGUAUUUAUCCACACUGACUAUUGUUCUUUAGCAAAGUGAGUAUUUAUUCCUAUUCUUGUGAAAAUUGUGAAGAAAAAAGUGAGUAUUUAUAAAAGCAGAAAACCAAAUGACGUUGGAAGAUCAUACAAACAAGGUGCAUGAUCUCUCAUUUACAGUGUGAUUCAGGAACAUUUGCAGGUCUAUUACUUUGUCUCCAACAAGUUUUGGUAGGAUUUUUUACUGUUUCAAGUUAUAUUGCUAGUAUCUGUUGAUCAAUUGUCUUUCUUUUCUAGUAGGGAAUUGUCGAAUGUUUUAACAUGUUCCUGUAGAAAAUGAAUGUUAAAUGUUUAACUACAUAUUCUUAAAGCUUAUUUUCAAACUUCUUAACUUGACAGGGAAAUAGUGAAUGGAAAGAUUGGUACCUAAGUGUUUAAUCUAAUCGGAAUACUGUGGAAAAUGUCUACCAAUGGUCGUGUGGUAUGUUGCAUUUCUUAAUUGCCAUUGUCUUGUUAUAUCCCCUGCUUGUGAUCUUUAUAUCCAAUAUGAGAAUGAGCUGAAAAAUUAUCAUUAA